AUACUUAACUUGCAGGGGAGAUAUCAUGAUCACAAAGGUGGUUUUCCCAGGACAAGGCUUAUCCAUUGCACUCUAAAUGUGCUGACUUCUGUGAUUUCCCCAAAUGUGGAAAAAUCGACUGCAUAAUUUGUGGUAGUGGGGAACUGCAUUCAUAUUUUGCCCUA
ensembl:snRNA U1 U1 spliceosomal RNA